rnacentral:tmRNA from 1 species
GGGGAUGACUUGGCUUUGACAGCGUGUAGAAGCGACCGGUAAGCAUGCAGAGCUUCGGCGAUAAAGCUCUAUAAUCACAAUGUCGUCGAACUAUAAUUGGCGAAAACAACAACUACGCUCUCGCUGCUUGAUUUGAAGUAUAGUAGAAUCGCUUAAUCCGCGCCACAGUGGCGCAGACGAGACAUCACCCCAUUGCCCUGUUCCGAGACGUUUGGAUAAGGUGGUGCAGAGAAAUUCGGAAAUUGGAGACGUCACGCCUCGCGGCGUCUCUGAAACUUAGAGGAUAAGGUUGCGAUUGGUUGUCUCGAGCCUGUCGCAACACGAAAACCAACUCGAUGACUAAGCAUGUAGAAAGCCCGUUGAUUCCGCGUUUGGACGAGGGUUCAAUUCCCUCCAUCUCCACU